UCCCAGUCUUCCAGCUUAAACAUUUCACAACACUAAAUCCAUACUCUUUCUCCUUGUGUCUUACAAUUCUCCAAGCUAGAUCCCUGAGCAUAUUCCAUAAUCAGUGGGAAAGGGAGCUGAGCACAUCUGCACAGCCUCCUGUUUCGAAGCUGUUACGGUAAAUAUUUCCAGGAGGCAUGACUCCUUCGGCUUCAAGACCAUCUAUUGCCACUUUUAACUGAUUAAAGUGAUUGCCUGGGACUGCUGGAUCUAUUCCAACUCUGUAUAAAUAUAGUCAGAACAUAACGUGCUGAAUCUGUGUGUGUGAACUCUGCUUCUCACUAGUAUCUGGCUUCUGUUACAAGCGUUAGCUUCUUCUACACUAGUUAAAAAUAUCUAACCAUUAAACAACUAAGCAUAUGCCAACCGUGUUCACAUUCAACCGCAGAACUAAGCUGAACCUGGAUUAGGUGAGCAGAGGUAAAGCACAUGAUAGAAGAAAACAGCAACACACAUUCAGC
rnacentral:lncRNA from 1 species